CAAAGGUCACAAUCAACAUUCAUUGCUGUCGCUGGGUUGGACUGUGUAGAAAAGCUCACUGAACAAUGAGUGCAACUGUGGCCCCGAU
ensembl:miRNA MIR181B1 microRNA 181b-1